rnacentral:lncRNA from 1 species
CUUUUGGAUGGAGUUUAAGGCAAUUAUUUAGGUGAGAUCUAUCAUUGAAGAAUAUUCUAGAAAGUCCAAGGUGAUAGAAUAAAGUAUAAAUAGGAUUAGCCAUGGCCUUUUAGGACAUCUAGUCAAGUAUGGCUUUGGACCCUUUCUCUUAAUACAAUUGGAUUUUUGUAUCUUCAUUUUUUUUUAAUUUCAAUUGAUCAAUUUUGCCUUUUAUAUCCCAUUAUAUUUAAAAAAAAUUAGUUUUAUUUUGGUCUAGUUUUUCCUACGUUGUGAUGAGGUUUUAUGUUGUUGUAGAUUAAAAAGAUCUUAAACAAUUGAGAUAGAUCAAUCUUAUUUUAUUGUUCU